ACUCGGGAUCCUCCUCCCUCAGCCUCCCGAAGCGCCGGGAUCACAGGCGUGCACCACUGCACCUGGCAGAUUCAGCAGUUUUCUAAAAAGUCUCGGCUGCUCAGUGGCAGAGCUGAAAUUGGAACCCGUAACUGGGACAGAUCCGAGCUCUAAAUCGCCCCUGAUCUUCCACUCAUCGGGGACCCACGGGCUGGGGAAUUAAUUAGGCAGAUCUGGGCACGAACGCACAAAUCGGUUCUCUUGGGCCUCAGUUUUCUCAUUUUGAAAUGGAGCAUGGUGAUGGUGCUUCACAACCACUUGUAAGGCUUGGGCAGGAAGCUGCCUGGCCCGAUUCCUGGCCUGGAGUACUCCAGCACCCGCAGCAGCAGCAGAGACAAUGGUUAACAUUGUUGCUUUACAGCCAUCGGCAGGAAGCUCCUAUUUAGCACAAGUGAAGCCCUGUGUUCAACCCAGCACCAAAUAAAAUACCGACCAUGCUCACCAGAGAGGUGGCUCGUUUGUUCUUCAUCCAGCCUUAAGUCAUUGAGCCAGCCAUUAUCCCCGGCACUGUGUGUGUGGGGGGGGGGACACAGCAGAAAAUAAUACAGAGAAGAAGUUCUGCCUUCCUGAAGCCCCAGCCUAGUGGACAGAAAUGGAUCAGAAAGGUAACCGUUCCACGGAAGCCCUCAGGUCCCAAGGCCAUAAAGAUUAUGGAGCCACAGAGCCAGGAGGAGGUCACUGCUCCACCCCCCAACGGACAGCAAGCACCGUCAUGUGACUUGCUUAGGCAACAGAAUGUGAGCUAAAGUGAGGUCAGCUGAUUCCCAGCAGAAGUUCUGAGCCUGAGAAGUUCUUGCUUCAUCCAUGGUUCUUCUUCAGUCACAAUAACUGCCUGUCCCAGAGGGUGUUGCUCCUUCAGCCAUGAUCCCAGAUGAUGUCACAUGGAAAAGACCCCCGGCCGACCUGCAGUGCACAUGAAAUGUGGGAGAGGAACUGAUCAUGUGAGUCCCAGAGAUGCUGGGCUUGUUUGUUACUGCAGCAAGAUCUAGCAGAAGCUGACAUCGAAAAAAUCAUCACCGAGCCACACCCACAGCCUUUUUUUAUCUUUCUUCUUGAGACAGGGUCUUGCUAAGUUCCUGAGGCUGGCCUCUGUGGGGUCAGCAGGCUUCCCUUCCCCUCCCCUUCCAUGGCGGCUGUAGGGGGGGACUUUCCACCUGAACAAGGAGACCCGAAAUGGCCAGGGCCAGCCUGCUGUCGGCAGCUGCAGGUUAGAUGGCCAAGGCCCUCCCCCUCCAGCUUCCCUUAUGAGCAUGGUUUCUGCCUUUCCCGGGCCGACGUCCCCGGCCCUCACCCUUUUGGGGACCGGUGACCCUUGCCCGGGAGUGCCCCCAAUAAACCUUCUUUUGGGGCCUC